rnacentral:rRNA from 1 species
AGUUACAGUAGGAACACUGUGCCAAGGAGCAUGGCCACAGAGCAUGCCCGAUCUUGUCUGCUCUGGGACACAAAGCAGGGCCAGGCCUUGUUAGUAUUUAGAGGAGACCACCUGGGAAUACCAGGUGCUGUAAAUU